rnacentral:rRNA from 1 species
GUGCCAGCCGCCGCGGUAAUACAGAGGUCUCAAGCGUUGUUCGGAAUCACUGGGCGUAAAGCGUGCGUAGGCUGUUUCGUAAGUCGUGUGUGAAAGGCGCGGGCUCAACCCGCGGACGGCACAUGAUACUGCGAGACUAGAGUAAUGGAGGGGGAACCGGAAUUCUCGGUGUAGCAGUGAAAUGCGUAGAUAUCGAGAGGAACACUCGUGGCGAAGGCGGGUUCCUGGACAUUAACUGACGCUGAGGCACGAAGGCCAGGGGAGCGAAAGGGAUUAGAUACCCCUGUAGUCCUGGCAGUAAACGGUGCACGCUUGGUGUGCGGGGAAUCGACCCCCUGCGUGCCGGAGCUAACGCGUUAAGCGUGCCGCCUGGGGAGUACGGUCGCAAGAUUAAAACUCAAAUAAAUUGGCGG